rnacentral:rRNA from 1 species
AGUGAACGCUGGCGGCAUGCCUAACACAUGCAAGUCGAACGGCAGCACAGUAAGUGCUUGCUCUUACCGGUGGCGAGUGGCGGGCGUGAGACGUAUACAUCGGACCCUACUUUUUCGUGGGGCAUAACGAAGCGAAACUUACGCCAAUACCGCAUACCCCCUACGGGUGAAAGCAGGGGAUCUUUGGACCUUGCGCGGUUGAAUGAGCCGAUGGCGGAUUUGCUAGUUGGCGGGGUAAAGGCCCACGAAGCGGACGAUCCGUAGCCGGUCUGGGAGGAUGAUAGGCGACACUGGAACGGGGACACGGUCAAGAGUCCUACGGGAGGCAGCAGUGGGGAAUGUUGGACAAUGGGCGCAAGCCUGAUCCAGCCAGACCGCGUGGGUGAAGAAGGCGUUCGGGUUGUAAAGACCUUUUGUGGGGAAAGAAACGCAGCAGGUUAAUACCCCGCUGUUCUGACGGUACCCAAAGAAUAAGCACCGGCUAACUUCGUG